AUGGAAUUAGGCCAUCUUUGUUGCUUGGAGUGGAAUUAUGCCAUUAAUACGUUUUGAAAUAUAGCUUAUUGCAUUUUGGUAAACUUGCAUUCUGGCAUGUUCUUCGAUGUUCUUCUUGGCAAGUCUGUGCCGGGCUCUUCCUCUCUCCUGUCUGUCUGUGUGUGUGUGGGAGCCGGAUCCGGGCUCCUGCAAUCCAGUUCCUGCUUUCCUCCACUACUCCUCAAGUCUCCACUCCUGCGGUUUAUUCCCUCAUCAGCUUGCCAUCAAAUACCCUGGUUUCCCGUCCGCUCGUCGCUAGAUCGUUAUUGUUCGUUCACGAUCCACCAUAUCCUGCCUCCUAACUUGCCCGCCUACCUGCUCUGCCUACCCCACUGCCCUGUCUGCUUCACCCUGCCUACCUACCAGCCCUGCCCUCGCACCUCCGGGCCGGCCCGGCCUGGCCUCUGUCCUUCCACUCCAACCUACAUUAAAACACCCCUUGAGUUUCA